rnacentral:lncRNA from 1 species
CAAUUUUGUCUAUUUUGGUUAACAAUAAAUCAAAAAAUGAAAUAUGUAUUUUAAAAAAGGAAAUAAAAAUAAUUACAUUUACAAUUUCAAAUCUAAUCAGAGUUUUAAAACCAAAUCAAAUUACAAACCAAGAAUGAAGCUAAAUUAAAUUACAAUAAAAAUUAAAUCAGAUCAAGCCAGCUGUUUCCAUUUUUGCAUGUGUUCUGUUCCCUAUUGUUGCUUUUGUUCACUGUCAAACCCUGUUAUGUUGAUGAUGACUGUCAUUGUACAUAUGUAGAACAAAAUGACAAAUUUUUGAGUUUAAAAAAAAAACUAAAGGACAAAUGAAAGUUCAGCAAAUCAUCAGACAAAAGCAAAAUAAUCUAAAAUUAUGAAGGGUGUAGGAAAAUGCAUAUGAUGAGCAAAGAAAAUGAAACAUCAAACGGGAAAUUGAUAGAGAAGGACCAAGGCAAGCAAGAAAGCAACUAAACAGAUAAAAAACUCUAUAAAUACACCCUAUCAAAUUUCAAAAAAGGGGCAGAGGACGGGGAUCUGAAAAAAAUCGUCUGAUAAAAAAAACACAUCAAAAGAAGAGAGUUUUAUUUUUUUGAAAAAAAGAGAAGAAACGUUUCUUUUUUUUAAAGAGAUAUUUGAAAACAAAAAUAAUUGAACAUAGAAGGAGCAACAACCCAACUCAAUCCUUAAAAUCAUAUAUAUUUUGAAGUAAAAAUAAUAGAAAAGGAGAGAAACCGAAAUCACGGUCAUUUCUGCCGGUAACUGCCGCUAACCACUGUCAACCGUGCACCGCGCCGUCGCCGCCACUUCUCCUUUUUGGUAUGUGUCCCUAUCAUGUUUGUUGUUAUGUUCACUAUACUUGUUUCUCCUUUGAAUGGAUUUACGUCUAUUUUGAGAUGAUGUUGGUUUGUAUUGAAAUAAUGCUUGAGCUAAAUUAUUUAUGCUCGUUUGUAUUGAAAAAUGAUGAGGCUAAGUUGUUUUGAAAUGAUGGCUACUUUGAAACUUAGCUGGUUUGGAAGUAUAGCAUGUGGGAUUCGUAGUUUUUGAAAGCACGCGGCCAUGCUGUCCUGAA